CUGGGGGGAAAUGUGUCUCGUCGACCCGACUUCUGGAAGGGUUAGUAUUUAUUAAGAUCAUCAAGCCAAUAUUCCUCGUGUCUAUUGUGGUGAAUCAUAGUAACUGAUCGAACCCCUUCUUGGGGUAAAUCAUUCAAGUUUCUGCCCUAUCAGCUUUCGAUGGUAGUGUAUUGGACUACCAUGGCAGUCACGGGUAACGGAGAAUUAGGGUUCGGUUCCGGAGAGGGAGCCUGAGAAACGGCUACCACUUCUAAGGAAGGCAGCAGGCGCGUAAAUUACCCAAUCCUGAUUCAGGGAGGUAGUGACAAGAAAUAACAACCUGGAAGACUUUGUCUUUACAGGAUUGUAGUGAGAACAAUCUAAAAACUUUAUCGAGAACCAUUGGAGGGCAAGUCUGGUGCCAGCAGCCGCGGUAAUUCCAGCUCCAAUAGCGUAUAUUAAAGUUGUUGCAGUUAAAAAGCUCGUAGUUGAAUUUCUGUACAUUCCCGGUGCCGGCUCUUGUCGAACCGUGGAGUGUGCAUCCGCUUACAAACUUAGCCCGGUCUUCAUUGGUCGACUAAGGGAGUAGGCCCUUUACUUUGAAAAAAUUAGAGUGUUUCAAGCAGGCAAUGGCUCGAAUACAUUAGCAUGGAAUAAUGGAAUAGGACU
rnacentral:rRNA from 1 species